CAGCCGCCGCGGUAAUACGUAGGUCCCGAGCGUUGUCCGGAAUUAUUGGGCGUAAAGGGCUCGCAGGCGGUUUCUUAAGUCUGAUGUGAAAGCCCCCGGCUCAACCGGGGAGGGUCAUUGGAAACUGGGAAACUUGAGUGCAGAAGAGGAGAGUGGAAUUCCACGUGUAGCGGUGAAAUGCGUAGAGAUGUGGAGGAACACCAGUGGCGAAGGCGACUCUCUGGUCUGUAACUGACGCUGAGGAGCGAAAGCGUGGGGAGCGAACAGGAUUAGAUACCCCGGUAGUCCCUGUCUCUUAUAC
rnacentral:rRNA from 1 species